CCUCUGCGCCUCUGCGCCUUCUGUGUGAUCGAAAUCACGGUCAGAGGUUUCUGAUAGCUGUUGUGGGCGAAACUUCGUGGUUCUCGUACUUAUUCGCGUGGUCGCACACGCAGUAGCUUUGUUUACGAGGGGUGUCGCCCACCGGUGACUUAACCUGGCUUUCGCGAGAGCGUCCGAAGCUUUUGUGACUGUUGCUGAAGUGACUGUUCGUGGAGGGUCUGCUGCGCGUCCAUCGGCGCUUUUGUGAAGACGCGCAUGGCGAUUCCCGAUGAUGUUCUAUUGGCAGUGUGGGGACCAUUCGGCGCUGCUUGCGUGCUGUGCCUCUGCGUGUCGUGGGUCUACCUGUGGCGGCUGAGCCUGCGGCGUGAGCGCGAACCUUUUGCCCUGGCAUGUGGCGCCAUCUCUGUAGCCGCCAGUUUGGCGGCAGCCGCGCUCGUGCCGGCAGACGUCUCCCUGGUGUCCGCCAUGAAAGGGGACGAUGGCACCUUCCAGCCAUGGGCAGCCAACGAGUCCGACCGGAAGGUGUUGCAGUCCGAAGUCCAGCUCGCCUAUUUCGUGCUGUACGGACUGCUGGUGUUGCUGGCGUUCGUGGUGCUGCCGUUUGCCUACUUCUUCUCUGAGGAGAAGGACGACACCCUCGACAGGACAGCCUGCUCGCGGGCUAUGUCAGCGUUGAAGUACACGGUCCUGUUCCUGUUGGUGGCUGGCGUGCUGCUCACUAUUGGGGCCGUGAUUCCGUUGAGGCAGGCUCCCCCGAGCAACAGCACGGAGUGGGACAAGAUACGUUUCCUGGUGGAUGAACUGGCUGCCAGCCGUGGUGAGGACUCCCUCAGGUUCCUGCUGUCACUGUUUGUGCUGGUCGGCAUGUUCCUGCUUAUAGUCUACACGGGCUUUGGGAUGUCUGCGCUGCCCAUGCGCCUGGUGCUGGGUGAGCGCAGCGCCGCCCGGGAGGUGGCCGACGUGGGCGAGCGGCGGCGCGCCCUCCGCACCCAGCUGGACUCCCUGGCUCGGCACGGAGGCGGCUCCAAUCGGCAGCGCUCGGCCCGCCUCGAGGAGCAGCUACACAACCUGGACGAGCGUCAGCGCCGCCUGGAGGAGUUUCGCGGAAGCUGCUCCUACCGGCUGCGCUUCCUCAUUCGGCCUCUGCAGAUCGUGUUAGGAGUGGUGUUUGCUCUGCUGGGCUUGCUGCUUUGGACAUCCCUUCUGCUCUCCAACGUGGACAAAGCGAUGCACUCGCUGGGCUUUCGGAUGGGCUACCUGCUGGACCACCCCGAACUUCCGAAUCCGCUGGACAUUACGCUCGUGUGGCUGCAGCGAUGGGGCGCCUCCAUUCUGGACUCGGCGCUCAUACUGGCCCUGCUGUUGCUGCUCGUUGCCUGCUCCACGUAUGGCUUGCAGCGCAUUGGCAUCUGGUGCCUCUUUCUCCAGAUGUACCGCCUGCGGAUGGGUCGGGCGCGGCCGCAGGCAGUUCUGCUUCUGUGCAUGGCACUUGUGUUCGUCGCCCUGGCUCUCAACGUGCUGCUACAUUCGGCUUGCCCGCAGUAUGCAACCUACGGGUCUCAACGUUACCAGGGCGUCAAUGGCACACAGCCCUGUGAUGCGCAGGCACUUCCAGAUGACUGUGUGAUGAGCCGGGGAAGUGCCAUGCUGGAGAGUUUCUUCUUCAGAGCAUGGAUCUUUGGUGCUGCCUUCUACUGGGCCACCUGGCUGUUCAUUGGGAGCGUGGUCAUCUCCUUCCUGGUGGUGGUGAUUCGCGGACGGCAGUCGUCGGUGGAGGUGGACGCCGACGAAUUUGAGGACGACGACGACGACGAGCCCCUCAUUAGGGCCUGAAGGAAAAUGACGUGCUGCUAGUCGAGGCCACUUGGAGCGCCAUCACCACGUUUCGAGUCCGCCAUUGGCCUUCUCCAUCGACUCUUACUGAGAGGCAUUGUUUACAACUUGUGGCCGAUUACCGUGCAUCAAAGCUAGUUUGUAUAUAGAGAUUGAUGCGUAGCAUAGAGGCAACCUUUACGAGUUAUGGCUGAUUACCGUGCGUCAAAACUUGAGUGUAUAUAGCGAUCGGCGCGUAGCAUAGAGGCCACUUGCAAGAAAGCUUCACCUUAGCUGAGUUGAUUAUAAAUGCGAGAGUGUGCAUAUCUGAGUGUGUAUUAUGGAAGCAUUGUGGACAAUGCCUGCAGGUCUGGCGAUUGUUUCGCUUUAUUAUUGGCAGGUCUUGAAUAGCACCUAAGCAGAUGCUCCCGCCAUGUUGUUAGGUGCACGUGUAACGUAAAUCCCAGCAUGCCAUUUUGCCCGAGAUAUUUUAGCACCACGCAGGCGGCGGCAAAUGUGGCCCCUUCGAAAAGGUCUUGCCGACGGAGCCACACCGGUUUGCAACGUUACAGGCCAAUGCAUCACUUUUGGUGAGUGUUAAUCGUGGGAUUCUUUUUCUCUUUAUUUUGUUCUGGUGUUAUAAAUGUCUAUUUUAUUUUUUUCGUGUACAUAAAUUCGUAUCUCAAGCAAAGCUUUGUGCAGCGAAAGCUCCACGUGUCACUGUCUGUAACUGGUCUUUUUACGCUGCCCAUAAUUUUUGUUGCAAUUCUCCUUUAAAGUGUUGUUAUGUGUGCUUGAAAGAGAGCUAACUAUCUUUGUACCGGGCACACGCAGUCAGUAGAUCUUAAAACAUUUUUUAAUGUUUUAGAAAAGGCGUCGUACUUUAGCUUCGCAGCUCUCUCUGCAGCAUUGGUGGGGGGUCUCCGCUCCUGUUCACUCUAAGAUUAUAUAAUGAGCAAUUGUAAUGUGAAGUUCCAUAGCAUCUCGUUCUAGUGUUUCACUGAAACUUAGUUUGCCAUAUUCCCUGCGGCUAAUGUUUGUCGUUUCUGAGAUUGUACUAUGAUGGCUUAUAUUCUCCUGUAAAAUCAUUCGAGUGAUUCUGUGUGUGUGUAUUGUGAGAGAUAAAGUUGUGCACAAACGAGUAUUUAUGAAUCAUGUAUUGCAUUGCAUGCAGAAGCACAGAGUAGUACUAUCGCUCACCUGUUACAUCUUUUUAAUUGCUGAGAAAACCAUUUAUAGAAUAGUAUUUAUAGUCUCUUGCAGUUUUGCUGUAUCUGCUGAAAGUUGUUGUACUAACUUAAUUGCACGCAUCAUGGUUCAAAACCAUGCUGCACUGUGAAAACCUUGCUGACAUUGGUGCAGUACAUUUUAGAUGUACUACUGCAUGAUGUCUGGUAAUUCGUUACAGGAUGGUAGUGUUCAUGGCAUUGAGAUUAUACUUUAGUGGCACAUUUCUUUCGCCUACCAUGGGAACCUCGUGGAACACAAACAUUUCUGGCGCAUUGUUAUUCAAAGAAGCAUGUACCAGAAAAAAAAAAGGCUGUUUCUAUUAGUGCCACAGCACCCAAACUGAUCUCCAGUGUCUUGGUGUUUAGCAAACUGCAUUGUGUACAAAAACAGGCCAAAAAUUCACUAAUUACCCACUGCAGCGUACAUUUGCCACAGUAAAUUCGCAUGAUGUUGCAUGUAUAUUAAUGGCAAAUUGGGCUGAUCAUUGCAGAGUGCUUGGGCAAUGCUUCAAGGGUGACGGAAUACUGCAGCAAAAAUUUACUGUGGUCUUAAGCAUGCUCCAAUGGUGGUUAUGAAGGCAGACUGCUCGUCUACCUAAUACCAAUCUCUCACUGGCACUUUUGGCUGUGAUAAGGGCCUAUCCUGAUUAGGCGUUAUCCAGGUCAGGUGCUGCUGCACAGUUACUUUGAAUCGUGAUCAGGUCCACUCCUGAUCAAGACGAUCGCGAUUUGACUGACAUCUGCGCCAAACUCGAUUCAGAUUAUAGUUUGAACUGCGUAGCAACGACUAUUGCUGAUUGCGGUCAAGAAAUCCGGUCUCAGUCGGCCUGAUUGCAGUGGAAAGUGCCUGUGUAGCAUUGGUAUAAGUGAUUGCGAAUAAGCUUUCUACCUGUGUCAAGUCAUUUUUAUCGCAUGGCAAGAGUCGAACGUCCGUAACUGCUGUCACAAAACAAGAUAGCCCUGCUGACAGUAUUCAAGUGAGCCAGGAACAAGUGAAAGUUAAAGUUACAAGUCCCUGAAACUCAAGAAAUGCUGUAUACAUACUUAUAAACUGUGUGCCAAUUGUACAAUGCUGAAUAUGAUGUGUUUUUAGAUUGCUUGUUUUUUUGCCCUUGCACUGUGCUCAGUGUUGGAAUGAAAUGCAGAUUAAAAUAAAGUUGGACAUCUCCA
rnacentral:misc_RNA from 1 species